CAAAUGUCAAUUGACUCCUCUCACUCAUAGUUGUACAAAUUACAGGGCUUUUUUUUAAUUGUCAUAAAACAUAUACAUUAUUCAUCUAUUCAGUUUCAUCUGAAGAGAAUCCAACAAAGAAGAAAUUUUAUUUUCCAAUAAAAUAUUAAAGCUGCUUUACCCCACAAGAGACAGAGCAGAAAUUCCAUCCAUGAUCUAUGAUCCAGGCUUGAAGAAAGAACUCCUCCGGGGAACAUGCUGAACUUGUGGCAGGGGGAAAGCAGAGUGCCAACUGCCAUGGCCCUUAAAGCAUUUGCCUGGAACUUCUACUCAGACAUGGCUUACAUCACGUCCUUUCACUCCAUUGGCCAAAGCAAGUCACAUGGCCAAGUGAGAAGGAUAGAUAGAGUCCUUCCUCAGGGAAUUACUAUAAAUCGUAUGGCUACCUUGCUACCAGCAGGCAUUAUACAACCUUUAAAGGGUACAGUGAGUAGUUGUGAAAAAUACUGUAAUACAAUAUUCCAUGGAUACCAUGUUCUCUGCUUUUGUAAUCAACAGGUAGGGUUUCUGUUUUCGUUUCCAACAAACAUACUAACACUUGCUUUUUAUCAUUUCCAUAAAUUAUUUGUUUCAGAGGCAACAGGCUGCUGGAGAAAGUAUUUAAAUAUUCCCUGAAGUUCCCAGAAACUUUCCUUUUCUGGGGGAAAUGCAACAAAUACUAAACAUUCAUGACCCAUUCUAAUAUUGUUCUUCCAAAAUUAUCAUGGCCACACCAGGCUGAUUUAAAUACAUUAUUGUAGACCCUUAGAUUUUUGCUAUGUAGUAAUACUUCAAAGGAAACAAACAGCAUAAAUGCCCAGAGUGGGUUCAUUUUGUUAAACAAUGGUUUCGAAUUUUCCCAUUGUGGGUAUUACAGUCUAAGUAGAAGGAAAUUCAAUUAGAAGUGUCUGUGCUUUAUCUAAUGCUCAGCUGUCACCAUCUUGAAAUUCUUCAUAGUUUUUGAACAAAUGAUCCACAUUUUCAUUUCGCACUGGACUCCGCAAAUUAUAUAGACAGUCUGGCUUAGAAUAGAUAUUCCCUCUUCUGGAACAUUUCCCAAUACUUCCGGCGAAACCAGGUACCUCUCCUAGGUGCUCACAUAAGGCCCUGUGACUAUGGCCCUUGACGCCCUUUACUGAAAUUUAUAGACUGUCUUCCCGUCUGGCCCGUGUGUUCCUUGAAAGCAGGAACAAUGACUAAUUCAGCAUUGUAUUUUCAGCAUAUACUAUGCAACAAAUAUUUGAUGAAUAAAUUAGUAUCAGACAUUAGUGUACCUUUGUAAAAUUCCCAGUUUGUGAAACUUUUUCUCUGGCAGCUGAAAAACUGCUCAUUGCUGCUCUGGUGUUUUUCCUGUGCUCUUUGCCAGGCACUGCCAAGUAAACUGACAGCAGCAGAGUGCCAUUUUCCUACACCGUCAGGCUGCUGUGACUUUCCCUAGAGGGACCUGAGCCUUCAGCUGGAGUCUCACAUCACUUGGAUCUGUCCCCCAGAUUGACUUUUUUCCUCCCAUACAAUAUAGAAAAUCACAUACAGUAUUUCACUUAUGUUUAAUACUUGAAAUCUGUGGCUACUGCCAAAAGCAUAGGACAAAUGCAAAUUACCAUAGUCCAAAGGAAAAACUAGAAAUUUACAAAGAAUGCAUUUUUUCACAUCCCACACAGUAAUUAAUGGGUCUAUUUUCAAUUAAUAAGGUAUUUCUGAUGCACGAGAACUAAGUUCAAAAUAAAUUUCAGCAAACCAUAAAAGGAUCUACAUCUCUUUAUAUAUACUUAUCUUUGAAUAAAAAUAAACUGGAGCAUGCGUUACUCAUGUAAAAACAAAUCUGGACAGUUAACCAAUAGCCAAGUUGGGGAAAAUAUCUGUAAAAUCAGCACUCUGUAGACAGACGUAUGCAGUACGGUAAAGCACACAGACUUGAAGUACAAACAUCUGUGAGUUCAAAUCCUGACUGCUAUUUACUGGCUGUGUGAUCUUGGGUCAUUUAUUGAAACCUCUCUGAGCCAGUUUCCUCAUUUGAAAACUGUGGAUAAUAAUGUCUGUCACCUCAUAGGUCUGUUACAGAGAUUAAGAAGAAGAUAUAUAUGCAGAGCACGUAGCACAGAGCCUGAAACUCAGAAAGCCUCAACAAGUCAUAUUCACACCCUUCCAGCAGCACUAAUGCCCUAAUUCCCUCACAUUCCCUCCUCUGCCUCUGUCCCAUUCACAUUCUAUUCCUCUCUCCCCCUUCUCCAGAUUAAUCUCUAGUUACAGAUUUGGUUAAUCCCCAAUGCACAAAAGUCAAUAAAUUAUCUUUUUAAAGGAA